CGGCCGCGGUAUCCUGACCGUGCAAAGGUAGCAUAAUCAUUUGUUCCUUAAUUAGGGACUUGUAUGAAUGGCCCCACGAGGGUUUAACUGUCUCUUACUUUCAAUCAGUGAAAUUGACCUCCCCGUGAAGAGGCGGGGAUAUAAAAAUAAGACGAGAAGACCCUAUGGAGCUUAAAUUAAGCUCUGAGCAACAAAUUUUGGUUGGGGUGACCUCGGAGUAUAACAAAACCUCCGAGUGAUUACUAAGACCUACCCGUCAAGGUCAAUCAUAUUGAUCAACGAAACAAGUUACCCUAGGGAUAACAGCGCAAUCCUAUUUAAGAGUUCAUAUCGACAAUAGGGUUUACGACCUCGAUGUUGGAUCAGGACACCCAAAUGGUGCAGCAGCU
rnacentral:rRNA from 1 species